UACCCUACGGGAGGCAGCAGUGAGGAAUAUUGGUCAAUGGUCGGGAGACUGAACCAGCCAAGCCGCGUGAGGGAUGAAGGUACAGAGUAUUGUAAACCUCUUUUGUCAGGGAGCAAAGUCACCCACGUGUGGGUGUUGGAGAGUACCUGAAGAAAAAGCAUCGGCUAACUCCGUGCCAGCAGCCGCGGUAAUACGGAGGAUGCGAGCGUUAUCCGGAUUUAUUGGGUUUAAAGGGUGCGCAGGCGGUCUGUUAAGUCAGCGGUCAAAGCCCGGGGCUCAACCCCGGCCCGCCGUUGAAACUGGCA
rnacentral:rRNA from 1 species